CCAGGCAAUCCGGCGGAGGACCGGGCCCGGCGCUUUGUGACGGAGGGAGGCGGCUGGGUUAAACACCGGCCCUUUCCCCCCGGGGGGCGAGAAGGGGGCCAGGAGCUCAGGCAAAGCGAGACCCCCCUGACCACCUGCACAUCCACGUACAUAGUUGCUGCUGCCGGCAGAAUAUGCUGUCUUGUGUGUGCUGCUGCUGUGUGGGCUGUUGCAACGGACACCAGUAAUGAAGAUUUGAAAGAAGAAAUUUCUAGGUUUGCAUUAAGCUCUCAAAAACGCUGAAUGGGAAAGUCAUAGUUAUCAACCCCAUUCCGAUCUGUGAGACUCAGAGCUGCCCGAACUGUAACCGUCUGCUCCUCUGCAGAAGAAAAACAGAUGAUGAUCUUCAGAGCUGGGAGUGACCGAGACCUUGUUCAUCACGAAUACAUCACCUGUUAUGUAAUCUCUGGCCUUCCUCUGAACCUGGGAGCACAGAGCUGUGAACACUGGAUCAUGUGGAAAAUCCAGAUGGAAGGAAGCGAUAUGGAGCUCUGUAACUGUUGUCCUCCCUGUACCACACACAGCCAAAAGGAUAAUUCAGCAGGGUGCUGUUAGUUUGUCUCAUUUAAUUCUGGAGGAGAAGGCAUUCCUCGUCAAAGAGUUCACGAAAAAAGGAAUGUUUGGUGGACUCAAAAUACUCAUCAUCACUGUCAACAAGUCAGCGUCUUUCAUUCAGUUGGACACUUGUACUGUAAAUACCCUCUAUGAAACUACUCUUAUUGACUGUUAAUUGUCUUUAGGAAGUUCAUGGAGCAUUUAUUCAUUAUAGGGGGUCAGUGUGUCAGAAGCACUGUUCUUCCUAAUUAAUUGACAUCAGUGGCCUAGAUUCUGUUCCAGGUAGUAAGCUGGUUGAGCUCACAGAUGAUGGCAUGUUGCACACAGCAUGGUAACCAACCUCUUUCCUCACAAACAACACCUUCUGGUAUACAACUCCAAGGGUGAAACAUUUAUUAUACUACUACAAUUAUAUCUUUACCAUCAUUAUCAUUGUUAUUUCUCUUUGAGUCAAGAAGUAGUCAUCGUCUCAUGGUUCUUAUGUCCUGUGCACAGAGAGGGACAGAGGCUUGUUUCUUGGGGGCUGUUAAAAUGCUGUGUAUGUUAUCCUGAUAGUAACUUUACUAGGGAGUAAAUCAGCUCCCUAUCUAAUUCAAGAUCCUUCUCUGGGCAUAAUGUUUACUUUAAGGUGUUUGCAACCUACAGUAAGUGCAUAUAUCUGGUUAAAAAACUAAGUGAAAAGGAAUUCCGCAGCAGAAGUCACACGUUACUCCUGGAGUCUGUUCUUAUUUAGCAGAAAGCCGCACUCAAAAACUUAUCGUCAAUUAAACCUGUGUAGCUGGAGCAACCUAGCGUUGAAUUUUGCAAUUAAGUUAGCUAAUUGGCUUCUCUUUCAGUGUAACUACAGGCCUUGUGUGAAAUGGGUCGUUAGGCUGACAAUAUCUGGCAUAAUGAUAAUGCAUUAUUUGUAAAGACAAAACAAUAAGAAUAACCAAGAACAACAGCUAGCAAUUCCUGUAAUCGCAGUCUGCUGUUUCACAGUGAAACCUUUGCAUGUAAGUAAGCCCUGACAUCUCUGCCAUUUACAUCACUUCUGAUUAUAUGAAAAAAACAACAACAUUGCUCAGUUUGGUCAAUUUAAGGGGGGUGGCAGAGAGAAGCUGAAAAUGGGUUCCUAAAAACAUUUGACUGAAUCUUCCACUUACAAACCCCUCCACACAGAAAGCAAUCUAUACAGAUUGAAGGCUGAAAUGCAGCAUGGUGCUGUACAGUACAUCAGACCCCAAGACGGAUCAUGGACUAACCAUCUUCCUUAACGUUCACCUCACUUGAAUUAAAAAUGCCCUCCUGGUUUCAUUUUGUUACAGUUAAUUACAGUUCAUUCAAGUCUUCUUCAUUGUACACAUGCUUCAAGGUGAAAAAUGCCCUUAAAUGGAGUCUAACGUCCUAAAAAUACAUGUACUGUUUAUAACAAAGUUUUGAUUUGCUGACUUAUGCUCAUAUCUUCAAAUAAUAAUGCACUGUUCACAUUGCACUUAAUUGUGAUUUAAUGCCAU